GUGCCAGCAGCCGCGGUAAUACAGAGGGCGCGAGCGUUGUCCGGAAUCACUGGGCGUAAAGGGCGCGUAGGUGGCCACUAUAAGGCCGCGGUGAAAGUUCGGGGCUCAACCCUGAAUCUGCCGCGGCGACUGUAGGGCUAGGGCACCGUAGAGGCAGAUGGAAUUCCGGGUGUAGCGGUGGAAUGCGUAGAGAUCCGGAAGAACACCGGUGGCGAAGGCGGUCUGCUGGGCGGUGAACCCGCAAGGGUUCAAUAGCCGACACUGAGGCGCGACAGCGUGGGGAGCAAACAGGAUUAGAUACCCUAGUAGUCC
rnacentral:rRNA from 1 species